rnacentral:rRNA from 1 species
GCACGGGUGAGUAACGCGUAUCCAACCUUCCCAUUACUGUGGGAUAACCUGCCGAAAGGCAGACUAAUACCGCAUAGUCUUCGAUGACGGCAUCAGAUUUGAAGUAAAGAUUUAUCGGUAAUGGAUGGGGAUGCGUCUGAUUAGCUUGUUGGCGGGGUAACGGCCCACCAAGGCAACGAUCAGUAGGGGUUCUGAGAGGAAGGUCCCCCACAUUGGAACUGAGACACGGUCCAAACUCC